AUACAUGGUUACCUACCGCGGGUAGGGUGAGGUCAACCUCGUGUUUUUUGUUUUUUUUCCUGUGAUAUUAGCUAGCAAUUUCCAGCGUUUCCUGAACCUUGAAGUAAAAACAAUGAUACUGAUCUAAACUACUAGAAUCUAGGUUGGAAGGAAAGGAAUGCAUCACGUUUUACUCUUGACGCUCAGAAAGCGAUACCCCAAAGACAGAGGCUUUAGAAGCUGCCUCAUAAUGCAGGUCCCCCAACCUUGACUUGUUGCUCCCACUUUUCCCAAGUGCAGGGAGGUACUCUCUGAAAUUUCCUUUCCUGACUAGAGAAGCCUCUUUGUAGAAGAAUCAAUCGCAUUCCUCCCCUCGCUGAAAUCUCGUAUCCUAUUUCAAAAAGACUCAGAAAUGCAGCCAUUCCUGGAGGGACUUUUUCACAAGAUUACUCAAAAGAAAAUUAUUUACUAAUUUCUGUCCAUUCAUUGUUCCUAAUAAUCAUUUGCUGCUCCUCAAAAUAAAUGUCUACAUUUCUCAUCUACCCUUUCCCCUAUGAAAAAAAGAUAUAAAAUCUUCUGUACUCCAUUAAGCUACUGGGUAAUCAUCCUCCUGCUUUUACCCCGGUGUUAUGUAUCCCUUUUCUCCUGUUAAUCGCCUGUUAUCAGUUGAUUUUUUUUUUCUUUUUUUUUAGAUAGAGUCUCACUCUGUCGCCCAAGCUGAAGUGCAGUGGCGCGAUCUCGGCUCACUGCAGCCUCCGCCUCCGGGGUUCAAGCGAUUCUCCCACCUCAGCCUCCCCAGUAGCUGGGAUUACAGGCACACACCACCACGUCCAGCUAAUUUUUGUAUUUUUGUAGAGACGGGGUUUUGCCAUGUUGGCUAGGCUGGUCUUGAACUCCUGACCUCAGGUGAUCCGCCCGCCUCGGCCUCCCAAAAUGCUGGGAUUACAGGCAUCCAAAGCGCUGGAAUUACAGGCAUGAGCCACCGCACCCGGCCUUAUCAGUUGAUUAAGUGAACCUUCAGUGGGCAAAGUUGUUUUAAAAUGUACUGAUACUUGAGCCUUGCCUGCAGAGGUUGAUGUCACUGAUUUAAGGUGGGCCCAGCCAGUGGUUCAGUUUUGCCUGUCUUCGAGUGAUUGGAAUGUACAGCCAAGAGAGUGUAAUUAUGGUGCUGGCAGAAGUAUUAACCUAUCUGGAUGUCACUGUCUUCACUUUCUGACUAGGCUGCUUCCAGGGAAUCUUUCCACCUCAAUAUUUAUGAGAUAUCUAUAAUUUUAUAACAAACUUUUAAAGGAGCCUCGGUUUCCUUAAACACAAUUGAUGACACCAGUUUUCUGGUUUUCUUCCAUUUUUGUUUAUAGAGCCAGGGUCUCACUGUGUUGCCCAGGCUGGCCUUGAACUCCUGAACUCAAGGGAUCUUCCCACCUCAGCCACCUGAGUAGCUGGGACUAUAAGUGGCACACCACUGUGCCUGGUCAGUUUUCUGGUUUUGAUAAUCUAUGGUUGUGUGAGAUAUUAUCAUUGGGGAAAGUUGGAGGAAUACAUAGGAGUAGUCUAUCUUUGCAACUUCCAUGUCUUAUUUCCAAAUAAAAAGUAAAAACCCUCAUUGAUUAUGUACUUCAUUAAAACACUGGACUUCAAUGAAAUCAUCACCUAUAUUUGUAAUGACUUGAGAGUAAUAUAAUUUAACUUUUUUUUUGACUUCUGAACUUUUUAUUGGCCUCCUGCUCCCCAAAGGGUACCCUGCUUCUGAUGGCUUAAUGUCUCAGAACUUGGGUGUCGUUGGUCUCAGAUACCACUUUGCCAUCCACUAUCCAGCAGAUAGUGGUCUUUUGGAUGGUUUGCAUGGAGUUGCUGCUGUCCAGGGCAUCACCAAGAUUGAAGUCCUUGCCAUCUUCCAGCAGGCGGCGGUAGGUGGCGAUCUCAGCCUCUAGCUUGACCCUGAUGUUCAGCAGGGCCUCGUACUCCUGGGCCUGGCACUGUCCCUCUGCCCAGGCCUGUGCCAGCUCUGACUCCAGGUGCAGCAGGAUCCCGUUGAGCUGCUCCAUCUGCAGGGCGUGGCAGGCCUCCACCUCCCUCAGGCUGUUCUCCAAGCUGGCCUUCAGAUUUCUCAUGGAGUCCAGGUUGAUCUCCAAGGACUGGACUGUAUGUCUCAGCUCCGUGAGCGUUAUAGCAGCUCCAACCUCGACGGACUGCGUGGUGACCCCUGUGUUGCUCUCCUCAAUCUGUUAAGACCAGUACUUGUCCAGCACCUAUUGGUUCUUCAUGCCAGCUCAUCAUAUUGGGCCCGGAUGUCUGCCAUUAUCUUGGUGAGGUCCUGAGAUUUGGGGACAUCUACCUCCACAGUCAACCCAGAGCUGGCAGUCUGGGCUUGUAGGCCUUUUACUUCCUCUUCGUGGUUCUUCUUCAUGAAGAGCAGCUCCUCCUUGAGAGCCUCAAUCUAUCUCCAGCUGCAGCCGAGUGACAUUAGUGUCAUGGAUUUUGUUCCCAUGGAUGUUGUUCUUCAGAGGCUGGCACGUGGCCAGCUCUGUCUCAUACUUGACUCUAAAGUCAUCAGCAGCAAGAUGGGCAUUGUCAGUCUGCAGAACGCAUUGUCCACAAUAUUUGUGAAGAUCUGAGCCCUCAGGUCCUCAAUGGUCUUGAAAUAAUGGCUCCAGUCUCUGACCUGGGGUCCCUGCUUCUCCAGGUGCUCCCGGAUUUUGCUCUCUAGCCUCCGGUUCUCGGUCUCCAGGCUCCUCACUCUGUCCAGAUGUGGGCCACCAGCCUUAA
rnacentral:lncRNA from 1 species